UACGUGAAACCGUUGAAAGGGAAGCGAAUGGAGUUAGCAAUUCGCCCUGCCAGAUUCAGCAGCUCGCGCGCAGCGACGCACGCGCUCUCGAUCCGCAUGGACGAGGCGUGUGCGGGUGCGGCGUGCGGUCUGCGCACUUCUGGCGAGCGAGCGUCAGCGUCGGUUGCCGACGUGCGACAAGGACGCGGGGAAGGUGGACAGGUCCUUGCGGCCUGUUGUUAUAGCCCCGCGCUCGCAUGGCUCGACGGCGACCGAGGCUUCCGGCGACGCGUGCCUGGCUGGCGACUCGAACGAUCGGUCCGRCAUGUCGACCGUGGCGGACGGCACGCCUGUGCGCUCGAACUGCUGCCGGCCGAU
rnacentral:rRNA from 1 species